rnacentral:tRNA from 1 species
GCCGCGAUGGCGGAAUUGGUAGACGCACAGGACUUAAAAUCCUGCGGCUUCGGUCGUGUGGGUUCGAUUCCCACUCGCGGCACAA